CACCUUUUGUCCGACUCUCGGGGAAAAUAUCGAUUACAUUCGCUGAAAGUUUUCGCCCUCCCGCUACCCGCCACCCGCCUCCCGCCCCGACACGGGGGACAAAAGGAACCGCAGAACAAAGCAGACAAACUACUCUUUUCGGGCCUUCUCCGGCAAAUCACAUAACCAUAAAUAAGGGUAAUAAAAAUGAUGCUCAGUUGUCGCUGGAGCUGAGAUCUGGAUGUGGAUGUGGAUGUGGAGGCUGAUGCAGCUGCAUUUUCUUGGAGACAGAUACAUCGACCCCAAACAGCAACACUGCCUGACUUCCCUAAUGAGAACCGAAAGGAUGUGAAUCCUUCUGGGACUUGUCAGCGAUCGAAUGGACUCAGCUACUCUGAAAUGUACUAAAAUGUAAAGGAUCCAAUCAGCCCGAUCUGUAUUAGAAAGUGGCUCUGAGAAUAACAAUCAAUGUCUGCCCUUAUCCCCAUCUCAGGUCGCUCUUAUUUCCCGCAAAUAGAUACCAACGCAGUAUAUUGUUAGGAUCCGUAAGUGCCUUUGGCUAUUCUUGAAUUUAUUCAAGCAUAUUUUUCUCACUUAAGCAAUCUAUGUAUUACUAUAUAUUAAACUGUGGAUAAUCUUUAUAAGUGUUAUGCGUUGGACGAAUCCGUAUAGAUAUAGACAUGGUAGGAAUAGGAGAAUAGAACAAUGUUAAGUUGAACUUGGAACGAUCAAUGGAUGUGGAACUCUCCAUCCUCAUCUUCAGUUUCUUCCGUUGUUUUGUUGUUGUUUGAUAUUUAUGCUGGAUUGCUUUGAUCUAGGAUCGGCAUACUAAAGAAGAACAAUCGUAUACUUCAUUGAGUACUCCUCACACACCUCUGCACACACACUCCGCACUCCGCUGAUGCGCUGUAAAAGGAGCCGCCUGGCCAAAUGUUCCUUUUGCCAGCCACAUUGUUUGCCUACCCGGGUGGACAGACGGAAAGCCAGACGGGGAACAAAGGAUGUUCGAGUUAUUAAAAA